rnacentral:sRNA from 1 species
UUUCACAUGUGCAUAUCGGCCUAAUGUUUUCACGUUCGACCCGAAUUGCCCGGUUCAACUGAUUAACCUGUGAUUCGAAUACUUUUCUAGUUUGGGUUUAAUGUUAAAAUCUGACAAGUUCAAAAUUUAAAAAACCCACAAAAAGUCACCAUUAACCCGUGACCGGUGAACCAAUUGAACCGGCCAGAUGUGGGUUUUAAAAAGCUUCCUUGACUUUAGAAUAAAAUAUAAGAUUUAAACAUUUAUUCAAUCAUUGAAAAAGUUUUUUCACUUCUUAAACUCAUUUGAUGUUGUAGAUUUUGGUGAAGACUUCACAAUGCCGCUUUAAACAAUGAAUCGAAUGGUGAGAGAGACAACCAAGAUUAGUUGUUUAAAUUCACGAUCUUUUCUUAGUUUAUUUCCGUGAUUGGUGAUCUCUUACUAUAUUUGUUAUCGUGUUAGAUAUUUAGUUGAAUAUAAAAAAAUGUAAUCAUUUUAUUAUAAUUAUUUGAUUUUAUAUAUUUAU